AAUGCAGACUGGGUGACCGCCGCCUCGAUUCGUCGUGGGGGAGGAAAGUCCGGGCUCCUCUAGGCAUGGUGCUGGGUAACUCCCAGGCCUCUGGCGACGGCCCCGAUUCCAUCGGGGUCCCGUUGGGGGACGGAAAGUGGCACAGAAACAUACCACCUCGACUCGUCGAGGCCAGGGUGAAAUCGGACGGUAAGAGCGUCCGGCCGUCUGCGGUGACGCAGCGGCGGCUAAACCCCACCUGGAGCAAGGCCAAAUAGGGGGACAUAGGCGCCUGGCCCGUCCCCGGGUUGGCUGCUUGACUGCGGCGGCAACGCCGCUCCGCCAAAAGCGGACUUCUGCUGGCUUCACCGCCGUCGGAAGGGCUAGAUAGAUGGUCACCGUCCUUCCUUAACCGGAAGGAUACAAAACCCGGCUUACAGGUCUGCAGCACCC
rnacentral:RNase_P_RNA from 1 species